rnacentral:lncRNA from 1 species
GCCGGCCUUGAACUCACUAUGGGGCCCAGGCUUGCCUGGGCCUCACAGCAGUGCUCCUGCCUCAACUUCCCCAGUGUGGGGAUUGCAAGUGCAUCACCACAUCUGCCAACAAACUAUUUUCAGUACUAAAUGUAUCAUCUUAUUAUUUUAAGAAACACAAAGUACCUGCCUAGAAGAUCUCUCAGUUCCACAGAUCAUGACUGAUAAUAAAUAAGUCAUUUUCUUGCACUGUCACGGCUAACAGAAAAAACUGUUUAGUGAGAAGCGAGAGAGAGAGAGAGAGAGAGAGAGAGAGAGAGAGAGAGAGAGAGGGAGAGUUUGCCUCAAAAUCCGAAGACACCAUGUUGGUGUUCAAUUACAAUUUAAGCUACCUGAGCUUGGGUCUAUGUCCAUUAUUGAAAACUCCUCUUGGUAUAGCUUACAUCUAACAUGACCCCAGGGCCUCAUGUGUUUGGAAGAUGAUUGGACUUGGGGGUUAGAAUUGACUUGCUGUUAGGAUGUUGGGUCCCCAAGAGGCGGGUCAUUGUGGGCGUGACCUAGAAGGGCGUGACCCGGAAGGGCAUAGCUCUCUUCCUGUUUCCUCUCUUGAUUUUUACCUCCUAGCAGCGUCCUCGGUGGCAGUGAUAGGGUGAGCAGUCUUCUUCCACCCAGGCUUUUCCGCGUGCUGUUGACCACAGGCUGGAACUUCUAAACAACCGGAGCCUAAAGAAGACCCUCUCCCUUCAAAUUUUAGGUGUUGAGUAUUGAGUCCCUGCAAUGAGAAAGUGACUGAGAAAUCCUCUGAAAGCUUAAAACGGAGGAAUUAAAAGCCAUGCAAUACAGAAGAAAAAAAAAACCAAAACAGAUAGUACAGAUCUGGCCAUGUGGAAGCACAUCUCAUCUAAAGGGAACGUCUUCUCUUUUCAACAGCACAAUAUCAUGGACUUGGGAAAAGCUACCACUAUGCCCUCACCAGAUUCUCUUUAUCCUUUUGAUCUUCACCAUAGUAGAAAUUUUGCCC